GACGAAUCUAUUGCCUGCCGAGCCCGCCGCUUACCGGCGCCGGGGGAGGGCAGCAAGAAGAGGAAUCC
rfam:Acidovorax sp. Leaf160 contig_2, whole genome shotgun sequence.